GCGCGGAUGGGGUAGUGGUAACCUGGGUCGUUGCCAUUUGCAGCGUUAACGCGAAAACAUCGACCCGCCGGGGGUUCAAUUCCCCCUCCACGCA